UCGACUCGGGGAGAAAUUAAGAGGGCUGGUUUCUAGUAUUUUUAAUUCAAAGUUUUUUAAGGAUCAUAGUGACUCAGUAUGCUGUUACUCCUCAAAGUCACAGAAAAACAAAAAUGCUUUCACAGUGUCAGAUAACAGUGAUAUGACUAUCAUAGCUGGACUUUGUCCUGGUUAACUCCCAUCAAUAGAGAAAGAAAUCUGUCCAAUCAGAGAAAGUUAAUGCUGCUCACCACAAAGGACAAUGGAGGCCAGCGCCACAACAGUUUCAGGACAGCGUUUCUCACUCGAUCUGACUGAUCAAGACUUUUCAGGACGCUCCCACUGAAGACAUGAAGGAAAGCGGAAACCAGGAAACACAUUUUUAGAGAAAUGAGACGUCCUUUCCUCUCAACCGUCAUCUCUUGUUUCAAAUGAUGGAGGCACAACUCGAUCAGCUGCCAGUCAGCUUUGUUCUAUAGCUUGUGAUGGUUUGUAUUUUUCUAUAGAUACAUUGUCUAAAUACUUAAAAGGGCACGC